UCUACAGUUGAGUCCACUGUUGGUAGGGAAAAAAGUCUGCUUUGGGGAAUUUUGGCUUACAAUUUAUUAGAAUCCUUAAAAUCUACAGAAAUCUUUGGUUUAAAAUCAACAAGAGGCGAGAUGAGCUUUGAGGCCACUCCCAACCCCUUCCAUGAUUCCGUGGCCCUGCACCCCAAAAGAGAGCUCCUCCUUUACUAUGCAAGACUCAUCUUGUUCUUUGCUGGUUUUCUAACCUUCAAGAGUCACCAAAAUAGUGUUUUUACAGCACGUGAUUCACCUCAAUCUCUUUCGCUUCCCCUUUUCCUUCCUCCUCUGCUCUGCACCCAUUCCCACCUGAAUCCCGCCGGCUCCUCGCAGGAGUUCUGCUAUCGCCUUUUCCCCAGGGCGUUUUGACCCACUAUAAAAUAAAAUAAAUCCAUGACCACUCACGUUUCUUCCUCCUGAUGAAGAAACUGAGGCACGGGAAGGGGAAAUGAAGCCAAGACAAAAAAAUCCCCCAAGAUUUUACGGGAAGUUGGGACGGACUCUGGCUCCCAGUCAGCAUCUCUGCCUUUUCUCCCUGAAGAAUUUGCUAUUUAUAGCUCUGCUUUGCUCCUUUAGAACAUAAUCAAAACCAUCCUCCCUCCGUACGAGAACUCAUCUAGCGGCACUAACCCUCCCGGGGGAAAACUUCCCGAAAUUUGCAGUUCGGCCUCUGCAAACGGGAACCUUCCACCGGUGCGGACAGCGCAGGGAACACGCUCAGCCCGGCACUACUCCAGUCCCGGGCACAAGCCGGGCUCCCUCCCACGCCACCGAGAAGGUUGCUCGGCUCAAACCCCCCCCGGCUCAUUUCCUGCUUUCGCGGGGAAGGCUCCGCAGCGUCCCGCGGAGAAGGAGCGGCGCCGCUCCGGCAGCCGACACCCAGCGGAGGACGAUGAGGUUCUGCAUCGCGGUGCUCCUGGUCCUUCAAUCCCUGCCGGGCAAUUACUAUUCUUCCACAGAAGAUUAUUACUAUGACAACAUCACAGCAACCCCUGCCACAUUCGUCUAUGAGUUUGAUUCCUACGAGGCAAACACCAUUGAGUAUGUGGAUUGGGAGAAGUUGUUUUCAGAAGAGAAUGCCACCACCGAGGUUUCAGAAGUACCAAACACAAAUGCUCCAGAGGAUUCCAGGGAUGCCAAGGACAGUCAGGAUUUCCAGGAGUCAUUUGGAUUGUCCCUGCAGGGCCACCUCACCCUCAUCAUCCUCCUCAGCUUCCUGGGUCUCCUGCUAUGAUGCCCAGACUCCUCCUCCAAAGACACCGUGGCUGGGAUGGCGACCAGGACAUUGUCAGGUGUUGACGAUGACAUCCUCUCCACGAGGUGUUGUCUCUGUUCCAGAACUGCUGAGAUGUUUUGUCUGGAGGUUUUGGUGGAAGAGCCGGUGCCGCCCUGGCGGCGCGAGCACGGAGAGCUCAGCAACCUUUCAGUCCUUUCCUGUUUCCUUGGAUUCCGCUGUAAAUAAGAACCUCUGCCAAUAAAAUCCCCAACACCUGGUGCACGGUGUCUCGUGGUAAAUAAUCCAGGACUGGAAUAACAAAUGCAAACAAUGCAUGCACGUGCUUGUCCCGUCAGAAGGAUUUCUCAAGCCUCUAAACCCAGCCAGGAGCUUCCAACUUUGUUUCUUCCAGAACUGCUCUUCACACUGUUUAUUUUCCAAAACACACACAAUAUCUGGGUGUGAUGAGAAGCUGGAUCAGAAAACCUCCCACCACCCCAACCCCCCCAUGGAGAGCAAACUGUUACAGAAAUGGAUGAUUUUGGCCAGGAAAUCAGAGUUAAAUUCCUUUUGGUGGGGGGAAAAAAAAUGCAAUCCCACACUUGGUACCUAUGUUGCUUUUCCUUGGGAGAGUUAGCAGGAAGGAGAGAUGGAAAACUGGCCCAGGUGUACCCAGGUAACCCUACAGGACAAAAGAUGAGUCAAGCAACAGGAGAACCGUGGUGGUCACAGUGCCCAGACCCCGGGGGAAUCUCCAGCUGCCAUCCCACCUGCGGAGCAGCCCCGGGGCCAGCCCACCUUUCCCAGGUUAUCCAAGCCCCCAGCCUUGGAAAGAAGAAAAUUUUGUUUCCCGCGGAAGGUAAAAAGCUCGAAACGCGUUGGGAAGCGGCGGGAGGAGCGAGAGCGGAUGCGCUGCCUGGCAGUGCCACCUCCUGGCUCUGUGCUGCCAUAAAGGUGGACUGAGAAAAGCCAAGAACGCCCCGGAAAAUUAUUCAGGAUCACUCAGCAGUGAGAUUUCCAACCCUGGAGUGGAGUAAAAAGCAAUUAAAGGGAAAUAAAAUAUGUGGAUGAAGGUUAUGAGUUUAUUUC
ensembl:lncRNA